rnacentral:rRNA from 1 species
GACGAACCGUGCGAACGUUGUUCGGAAUCACUGGGCUUAAAGGGCGCGUAGGCGGCUUGCCAAGUCAGGGGUGAAAUCCUGCAGCUUAACUGUAGAAGGGCCUUUGAUACUGGCGAGCUCGAGGGAGGUAGGGGUAUGUGGAACUUCCGGUGGAGCGGUGAAAUGCGUUGAUAUCGGAAGGAACGCCGGUGGCGAAAGCGACGUACUGGACCUCUUCUGACGCUGAGGCGCGAAAGCUAGGGGGAGCAAACGGG